UGCAGUCGAGCGGAUGAAGGGAGCUUGCUCCUGGAUUCAGCGGCGGACGGGUGAGUAAUGCCUAGGAAUCUGCCUGGUAGUGGGGGAUAACGUCCGGAAACGGGCGCUAAUACCGCAUACGUCCUGAGGGAGAAAGUGGGGGAUCUUCGGACCUCACGCUAUCAGAUGAGCCUAGGUCGGAUUAGCUAGUUGGUGGGGUAAAGGCCUACCAAGGCGACGAUCCGUAACUGGUCUGAGAGGAUGAUCAGUCACACUGGAACUGAGACACGGUCCAGACUCCUACGGGAGGCAGCAGUGGGGAAUAUUGGACAAUGGGCGAAAGCCUGAUCCAGCCAUGCCGCGUGUGUGAAGAAGGUCUUCGGAUUGUAAAGCACUUUAAGUUGGGAGGAAGGGCAGUAAGUUAAUACCUUGCUGUUUUGACGUUACCAACAGAAUAAGCACCGGCUAACUUCGUGCCAGCAGCCGCGGUAAUACGAAGGGUGCAAGCGUUAAUCGGAAUUACUGGGCGUAAAGCGCGCGUAGGUGGUUCAGCAAGUUGGAUGUGAAAUCCCCGGGCUCAACCUGGGAACUGCAUCCAAAACUACUGAGCUAGAGUACGGUAGAGGGUGGUGGAAUUUCCUGUGUAGCGGUG
rnacentral:rRNA from 2 species